AUUCCAUGAUGAGGACAGGUGAGGAUGCACUCUUGUAGCCUCUCCCAAGCUUCCAAGAUUAACUCCAUUCCUGUCUGCUGGAAACUUGACAUCUUUCCACGUAGGGCU